rnacentral:rRNA from 1 species
GUGAGGAAUUUUCCGCAAUGGGCGAAAGCCUGACGGAGCAAUGCCGCGUGAAGGAUGAAGGCCUAUGGGUUGUAAACUUCUUUUCUCAGAAAAGAAUUAUGACGGUAUCUGAGGAAUAAGCAUCGGCUAACUCUGUGCCAGCAGCCGCGGUAAGACAGAGGAUGCAAGCGUUAUCCGGAAUGAUUGGGCGUAAAGCGUCUGUAGGUUGUUUAAAAAGUAUUCUGUCAAAGAUUAGGGCUUAACCCUAGAUAGGCAGAAUAAACUUUUAAGCUAGAGUUUGGUAGAGGCAGAGGGAAUUCCCGGUGGAGCGGUGAAAUGCGUAGAUAUCGGGAGGAACGCCAAAGGCGAAGGCACUCUGCUGGGCCAAUACUAACACUGAGAGACGAAAGCGAGGGGAGCAAAUGGGAUUAGAAACCCUUGUAGUCC